GGAAACCGCUGCUAAGACCCGAUAAACCGAAAGGGGAAAAAGAAAUUGCCAGUUGAUGAGCUCGCGUCGGAUUAGCUAGUUGGUAGGGUAAAGGCGUACCAAGGCGACGAUCCGUAGCCGGUCUGAGAGGACGAUCGGCCACACUGGGACUGAGACACGGCCCAGACUCCUACGGGAGGCAGCAGUGGGGAAUUUUCCGCAAUGGGCGAAAGCCUGACGGAGCAAGACCGCGUGAGGGAGGAAGGCUCUUGGGUUGUAAACCUCUUUUCUCAGGGAAGAAGCCAUGACGGUACUUGAGGAAUCAGCAUCCGCUAACUCCGUGCCCUCAGCCGGGGUAAUACCGAGGAUGCAAGCGUUAUCCGGAAUGAUUGGCCGUAAAUCGUCCCCAGGUGGCACUUCAACUCUGCCGUUUAACACUCCAGCUUAACUGGAGGCCGGCGGUGGAAACUGAACAGCUAUAGUGUGGUGCGGGCCCAGGGAAUUCCGGUGUUCCGGUGAAAUGCGUUUAAAUCGGGAAAACAUCCCCUUUAAAGCGCUCUGGUGUUCCGCCACUGAUACUCAUGAGUAAACCUCCUCGGGCGCAUGGGAUU
rnacentral:rRNA from 1 species